rnacentral:rRNA from 1 species
AUUGAACGCUGGCGGCAGGCCUAACACAUGCCAGUCGAGCGGGCGGCGGACGGGUGAGUAAUGUAUGGGGACUGCCCGAUAGAGGGGGAUAACUAAUGGAAACGGUGGCUAAUACCGCAUACUAUCGGCUAACCCCUAUGGGAUUAGCUAGUAGGUGGGGUAAAGGCUCACCUAGGCGACGAUUUCUAGAUGGUCUGAGAGGAUGAUGAUCCACACUGAGACUGAGACACGGCCCAGACUCCCGGGGAGUCAGCAGUGGGGAAUAUUGCACAAUGGGCGCAAGCCUGAUGCAGCCAUGCCGCUUGUAUGAAGAAGGCCUUAGGGUUGUGAAGUACUUUCAGCGGGGAGGCGUUACCCGCAUAAGAAGCACCGGCUAACUCCGUGCCAGCAGCCGCGGUAAUUC